AGUGAACGCUGGCGGUAGGCCUAACACAUGCAAGUCGAACGGCAGCACAGGAGAGCUUGCUCUCUGGGUGGCGAGUGGCGGACGGGUGAGGAAUACAUCGGAAUCUACCUUUUCGUGGGGGAUAACGUAGGGAAACUUACGCUAAUACCGCAUACGACCUACGGGUGAAAGUGGGGGACCGCAAGGCCUCACGGGAUUAGAUGAGCCGAUGUCCGAUUAGCUAGUUGGCGGGGUAAUGGCCCACCAAGGCGACGAUCGGUAGCUGGUCGGAGAGGAUGAUCAGCCAUACUGGAACUGAGACACGGUCCAGACUCCUACGGGAGGCAGCAGUGGGGAAUAUUGGACAAUGGGCGCAAGCCUGAUCCAGCCAUACCGCGUGGGUGAAGAAGGCCUUCGGGUUGUAAAGCCCUUUUGUUGGGAAAGAAAUCCUGUCGAUUAAUACUCGGUGGGGAUGACGGUACCCAAAGAAUAAGCACCGGCUAACUUCGUGCCAGCCGCCGCAGUAAGAC
rnacentral:rRNA from 1 species